AUGGUGAUGUUCAAGAAAGUGAAGAACUUCGCUGUGGCCUUCAGCGAGCCCGACAAGGUUUAUUUCAGCGGGGACAAGGUGGCCGGGCGUGUGCUGGUGGAGGUGGCCGAGGUGACCCGUGUCACCGCCGUCAAGGUGCUGGCGUGUGGCGUGGCCAGGGUGACCUGGGCCAAGGGCCCGGCGCAGUGCCGGCAGGAGAUGGAGUACCUGCGCUUCGAGGACGUGCUGGCCCUGGAGGAGCAGCCCACAGAUGAGGACGGCUCAGUCAUCCUGAGACCCGGCAACAAGUACGAGUACAAAUUCGGCUUCGAGCUGCCCCAGGGGCCGCUGGGCACCACGUUCAAGGGCAAGUAUGGCUCUGUGGAUUACUGGGUGCAGGCGUCCCUGGAGCGCCCGUCCUGCCCCGCUCAGCAGAUCAAGAAACGCUUCGAGGUGAUGGAUCCUGUGGAUGUGAACACCCCAGAACUGCUGUCUCCAGUGGCAGCCAAAAAGGAGAAGAAAGUGUCGUGCAUGUUCAUCCCGGAUGGACGCGUGUCUGUCAGCGCCCAGAUCGACAGGAAGGGCUUCUGUGAAGGUGAGGAUUGCUGGGAGCAGGGAAUUGGGGUGGGGGGAACCAGUGAGGAACCCCCAGCACCCCUAAACACGGCUGUUUUUUCCCUUUGUGCAGGUGAUGAGAUCUGCAUCAACGCCGACUUCGAGAACACCUGCUCCCGCAUCGUGGUGCCCAAGGCAGCCAUCGUGGCCAAGCACACCUACCUGGCCAACGGGCAGACCAAGGUGUUCUCCCAAAAACUCUCCUGCGUUCGUGGCAACCACAUCAUCUCCGGCACCUCCGAGUCCUGGCGUGGCAAAACCAUCCGUGUGAAGAAGCUCAAACCCUCCAUCCUGGGCUGCAACAUCCUCAGGGUGGAGUAUUUCCUGCAGAUCUACGUCAGCGUGCCAGGCUCCAAGAAAAUCAUCCUGGAGCUGCCCCUGGUGAUCGGGAGCCGCUCUGGCAUCGGCAGCCGCAGCUCCAGCAUGGCCAGUCAGACCAGUUCCGAGAUGAGCUGGGUGGACCUGAACCUCCCCGACGCUCCCGAGGCUCCCCCGUGCUACCUGGACAUCGUUCCCGAGGAUCACCGGCUGGAGAGCCCCACCACGCCCCUGCUGGACGAUCCCGACGGCUUUGACAGCCCCAUCUUCAUGUACGCGCCCGAGUUCAAGUUCAUGCCUCCCCCCACCUACACGGAGGUGAGCACGGCAGCUCCGGGGCAGGGGCCAGGUGGAUCUGGGAUCACCUGGCCGGAUUCCUCACCCUCCUCCUGCUCCCAGGUGGAUCCCUGCGUCUCCAACAACAACAACAACAUCAACCAGUGAGCUCUCGGUGUGCCACAAACCUGCAGCACAUCUGGAGAGGGGGAAAACAAAAAAAACAAAAACUGCCACAUUCCCGAGGAGCUGCUGCAUUUCCCGAGGAGCUGCUGCAUUUCCCGAGGGGUUCCUGCACUCCCCAUCCCAAAUCUCGAGGAUAAAAAACCCCUCGAGCGCUGUGGGGAGACGAGGUGGAUCCAGCUGGGAAAAACCUCGAGGUGGAUCCAGCUGGGGAGAACCUCGAGGUGGAUCAAACCUGGAGGCAGAUCCAGCUGGGGAGAACCUCGAGGCAGAUCCAGCUGGGGAGAACCUCGAGGUGGAUCCAGCUGGGGAGAACCUCGAGGUGGAUCCAGCUGGGAGAACCUCGAGGUGGAUCCAGCUGGGGAGAACCUCGCAGCAGAUCCAGCUGGGGAGAACCUGGAGGCAGAUCCAGCUGGGGAGAACCUCGAGGCAGAUCAAACCUGGAGGUGGAUCCAGCUGGGGAGAACCUCGAGGUGGAUCAAACCUCGAGGCGGAUCCAGCUGGGAAAAACCUCCUCUGUCGUGGUCCUUGCCCUGUCGCGACACGGGCCGGGCGGGGAGUUGUGGUUUUUAAUCAAUUCCAUCCGGAUUUGGUGACUCCGGGAGGAGGAGGAGGAGGAGCUGUGACGCGGUGAAUCCGUCCUGUCGCGACACAACGUGCGUGUCACGACCUUUUGUACUCUUUGUUUUUUGUACAUAGCGUUUCGGGGAGGGAGGGAUGGGGGGAAAGAAAGCACAGAAAUGCAAAUUUUGUACUUUGUCGUGGCCCCUGGGGGGCGAAAUUUGUAAUAAAGUUGUAAUAAAUCAAUGGAAUUA